AGGGGUGGCAAUCUGAGCAAUGGCUGCGGAUUCUGAGGACAGGGAAUAUGAGGAGGAGGAAGUCGAGGAUGAGCUUGCAGAGGGCACACAGCGCUCUGUUCUCACCAACAGCCAGGACCUUUUUCUCACCCUGAAGUUCCCUCCAAGCCUUCCCAAGGUGGUAUCCCAGACAAUGAAGCCAUGGAAGGGACCUCUGGUGAGUG